GUGGGGAAUAUUGGACAAUGGGCGAAAGCCUGAUCCAGCCAUGCCGCGUGUGUGAAGAAGGUCUUCGGAUUGUAAAGCACUUUAAGUUGGGAGGAAGGGCAGUAAGUUAAUACCUUGCUGUUUUGACGUUACCAACAGAAUAAGCACCGGCUAACUUCGUGCCAGCAGCCGCGGUAAUACGAAGGGUGCAAGCGUUAAUCGGAAUUACUGGGCGUAAAGCGCGCGUAGGUGGUUCAGCAAGUUGAAGGUGAAAUCCCCGGGCUCAACCUGGGAACUGCCGCCAAAACUGCUGAGCUAGAGUACGGUAGAGGGUAGUGGAAUUUCCUGUGUAGCGGUGAAAUGCGUAGAUAUAGGAAGGAACACCAGUGGCGAAGGCGACUACCUGGACUGAUACUGACACUGAGGUGCGAAAGCGUGGGGAGCAAACAGGAUUAGAAACCCGUGUAGUCC
rnacentral:rRNA from 1 species